AGGAAUAUUGGACAAUGGUCGGGAGACUGAUCCAGCCAUGCCGCGUGCAGGAAGACUGCCCUAUGGGUUGUAAACUGCUUUUUUACGGGAAGAAUAAUACCCACGUGUGGGUAGAUGACGGUACCGUACGAAU
rnacentral:rRNA from 1 species